CAACGACUCUCGGCAACGGAUAUCUCGGCUCUCGCAUCGAUGAAGAACGUAGCGAAAUGCGAUACUUGGUGUGAAUUGCAGAAUCCCGUGAACCAUCGAGUCUUUGAACGCAAGUUGCGCCCGAAGCCGUCAGGCCGAGAGCACGUCUGCCUGGGCGUCACGC
rnacentral:rRNA from 1 species